ACAACGCUAAUAGACAAUUUUCAUGAAAAGUCUGUCAAGAGCUUAGUUAUUGAAGCCAUUCAGCGUUUGUCAACUUCCCCUUGAUGCUUUAAAAGUAACUGUAGUUGUAAAAAGACCCAAUAUGUGACUGUGGAAACAAAAAAUGACAGCGUCUUCGCCAGAAGACACUCAUGAUAUACAGGACCAAGUUGUGUUGAAAGUUUCAAGAUGGGAUAAACGUUUACAUCAAGAUUAGAUGAAACAAGUAAAGCAAGGUCUGCUGGUGAGAUGUUUUCGCUCCUGUUGUGUCUCUCGGGUUUAAUCAAUGGAGAGCUGUGUGGGUGACUACGAGAGGCCCUAUAGUUCUUUGAAAAUAC